GGCGACGAGUGGCGAACGGGUGAGUAAUGCAUCGGAACGUGCCCAGUAGUGGGGGAUAGCCCGGCGAAAGCCGGAUUAAUACCGCAUACGACCUACGGGUGAAAGCGGGGGACUCGCAAGAGCCUCGCGCUAUUGGAGCGGCCGAUGUCAGAUUAGCUAGUUGGUGGGGUAAAAGCCUACCAAGGCGACGAUCUGUAGCUGGUCUGAGAGGACGACCAGCCACACUGGGACUGAGACACGGCCCAGACUCCUACGGGAGGCAGCAGUGGGGAAUUUUGGACAAUGGGCGCAAGCCUGAUCCAGCCAUGCCGCGUGCGGGAAGAAGGCCUUCGGGUUGUAAACCGCUUUUGUCAGGGAAGAAACGCUCUGGGCUAAUACCCCGGGGUAAUGACGGUACCUGAAGAAUAAGCACCGGCUAACUACGUGCCAGCAGCCGCGGUAAUACGUAGGGUGCAAGCGUUAAUCGGAAUUACUGGGCGUAAAGCGUGCGCAGGCGGUUAUGCAAGACAGAUGUGAAAUCCCCGGGCUCAACCUGGGAACUGCAUUUGUGACUGCAUAGCUAGAGUACGGUAGAGGGGGAUGGAAUUCCGCGUGUAGCAGUGAAAUGCGUAGAUAUGCGGAGGAACACCGAUGGCGAAGGCAAUCCCCUGGACCUGUACUGACGCUCAUGCACGAAAGCGUGGGGAGCAGACAGGAUUAGAUACCCUGGUAGUCCACGCCCUAAACGAUGUCAACUGGUUGUUGGACGGCUUGCUGUUCAGUAACGAAGCUAACGCGUGAAGUUGACCGCCUGGGGAGUACGGCCGCAAGGUUGAGACUCAAAGGAAUUGACGGGGGCCCGCACAAGCGGUGGAUGAUGUGGUUUAAUUCGAUGCAACGCGAAAAACCUUACCUACCCUUGACAUGUCAAGAAUCUUGCAGAGAUGUGAGAGUGCUCGAAAGAGAACUUGAACACAGGUGCUGCAUGGCCGUCGUCAGCUCGUGUCGUGAGAUGUUGGGUUAAGUCCCGCAACGAGCGCAACCCUUGUCAUUAGUUGCUACGAAAGGGCACUCUAAUGAGACUGCCGGUGACAAACCGGAGGAAGGUGGGGAUGACGUCAGGUCCUCAUGGCCCUUAUGGGUAGGCUACACACGUCAUACAAUGGCCGGUACAGAGGGCUGCCAACCCGCGAGGGGGAGCUAAUCCCAGAAAACCGGUCGUAGUCCGGAUCGCAGUCUGCAACUCGACUGCGUGAAGUCGGAAUCGCUAGUAAUCGCGGAUCAGCUUGCCGCGGUGAAUACGUUCCCGGGUCUUGUACACACCGCCCGUCACACCAUGGGAGCGGGUUCUGCCA
rnacentral:rRNA from 1 species